GGUCGAAAGACGUAGUCGAUGGAUAACAGGUAAAGAUUCCUGUACUAUAUCAUAACAGAACUGUGGGGACGCAGACAGAGAGCAUAAGCCGGGAAUGGAAAAACCGGUACAAGCGAGGUAGGAGUGCAUCAGGCAAAUCCGGUGCACAAUCUGAAGACGUGAUGUGGGGCGUAAAGCCAUAAGUAUGUGAGCUGGCUGCCAAGAAAAGCCGCUAUUGUUCAUAUGAUACCCGUACCGUAAACCGACACAGG
rnacentral:rRNA from 1 species